rnacentral:miRNA from 1 species
CUAUACAAUGUGCUAGCUUUCU